UUAAGAAUCUUGCACAAUGGGGGCAACCCUGAUGCAGCGACGCCGCGUGGAUGAUGAAGGCUUUCGGGUUGUAAAGUCCGGUAAGCAGGGAAGAAUAAGCGCCGGGUAAUAUUCGGCGUGAUGACGGUACCUGCCUAAAGCCCCGGCUAACUACGUGCCAGCAGCCGCGGUAAUACGUAUGGGGCAAGCGUUGUUCGGAAUUAUUGGGCGUAAAGGGCGUCUAGGCGGGGGAUUAAGUUAGGUGUGAAAGCCACGGGCUCAACCCGUGAACUGCAUCUAAGACUGGUUCUCUUGAGUUCGGGAGAGGAGAGCGGAAUUCCAGGUGUAGCGGUGAAAUGCGUAGAUAUCUGGAAGAACACCAGUGGCGAAGGCGGCUCUCUGGCCUAGAACUGACGCUGAAGCGCGAAAGCGUGGGGAGCAAACG
rnacentral:rRNA from 1 species